GAUGAACGCUAGCUACAGGCUUAACACAUGCAAGUCGAGGGGCAGCAUGGUCUUAGCUUGCUAAGGCCGAUGGCGACCGGCGCACGGGUGAGUAACACGUAUCCAACCUGCCGUCUACUCUUGGACAGCCUUCUGAAAGGAAGAUUAAUACAAGAUGGCAUCAUGAGUCCGCAUGUUCACAUGAUUAAAGGUAUUCCGGUAGACGAUGGGGAUGCGUUCCAUUAGAUAGUAGGCGGGGUAACGGCCCACCUAGUCUUCGAUGGAUAGGGGUUCUGAGAGGAAGGUCCCCCACAUUGGAACUGAGACACGGUCCAAACUCCUACGGGAGGCAGCAGUGAGGAAUAUUGGUCAAUGGGCGAGAGCCUGAACCAGCCAAGUAGCGUGAAGGAUGACUGCCCUAUGGGUUGUAAACUUCUUUUAUAAAGGAAUAAAGUGAGGCACGUGUGCCUUUUUGUAUGUACCGUACG
rnacentral:rRNA from 1 species